AGGGGUAAUCGAAUAGUGUGGUCUACUUAAUUUAUUCAGGCGGUUGACAAAACUUCACAGAAGCUAUCCCUAGACAACAAGUUCAACAACAGAUUAAUUCACUCCCGUGAUAGAAAUCCUCAAGCAAAGCUAGACACUGACCUAAAUCCCUUUAACGAUCUCUAACUAAGCAGGCAUUAUCGAAUCAACAUGUUAAAGUCAAUACCCUCUCUACAGCCAAUCCCUUGGGGUAGAGUCAGAUAUCUCUGGAAUUAAUAGGAUCCAACGCCCAUUAAACGCCUUCUGAGCGCUGGACGUCUGGACUCAUACUCCACAUUAGCCAGUGAAAUAAGCAAUAAGCGCAACUAAUCCAGAAGGGAUUCUAGAAUUCUAAACUCAACCACCUAAAACGACCAAGUAAACCACAACUAUUUUAUCCCAUCCUCAGAAAUACAGUUCACUACUCAGACAUAAUCAAAGACAAUAACAAAGCAACAAUUGAAAACAUGAUAACAGAAAUGACGAAAGACUUAAACGAAAACUGAAUAUCAAAUACUUGAAAGCGAAACUAGAAAGUCGCAGGAGAAACAGUGCGACUAUCAAAGUUGCGAAAAUGUAAAAGCGAGAUAAAAACGGAUAAUAGCGGAUGCCCUAGGGAAAACCCUAAGGGGCAGUUUAUAUAAGCGAGAAAUGAAACAAAUAAGGAAACUAAAUAUAUAGCGAAUCUUCACGUCAUGAUCCUGCGACCGAAUGUGUCAUUGGCAUUUGACGGGCUGAAAUGAGCUUCCUAGUGAUCGAGUAUGUCAUUGAUCAAAUUGGGCUUUAGGGGCUCCGUCUUGCGAUCGAGUGAGAUGCAGUGAAGUCGAGAUUGAAUGGUCCAGCGACCCUGUGAUCGGGUGGUUUCUUCGGCUUCUCUUCUCUUCUUUGUUCUUAGCUUGUCUGGUUGAGUGCAGAAUGAGCAGAUAGGCUUCCUGGUGAUCGAGUGGUUCCGAUGGGGUGAUUCCUCCGGUUUCGCGAUUGAGUGAAACUGAGCUGCUUGCUUCUCCGGGGUUGCGAUAGAGUGAUUUGCCCUGGCAGGGCUCCGAGGAUGCGAUAGAGUACUUUUGCUGAAGGCGUCAUUGGGCAUUCUGACUUCAUGUUCUGUUUUUCCUCUGUUUGAACUCCAAAAGCAUCCAAAGUACCUGAAAACAAACAAAUAUGCCAUGCACAUGCAAUCCUAAUGCAAAAUCGUCCUAAGUAUGUAAAACACACUAAAACGACUCCUAAUGAGAUGAAAUGUGGAUGAAACAAUGACAAAGUGGUGAAGAAUGAAUGCCUAAAUCAUGCAAAUUAUAGAGAU
rnacentral:sRNA from 1 species